GAGUGGUGUUGGCUUGAUACGGGUGGUUGGCUCCCUGCUUGAGCAGGCACGGCCACGCGUACAUUCCUUUUCAAGUGUGCGGCAAGGCUUGUAUCGCCUUGAUCGUAUAUGUGGGUUUCCUGUGUUGCAUACCUGAUCAACGGCAUCGUUUUGAUAAAAAAAAAUACCUUUUUCGUAAGGCGUUGCACCCGCAACGUCAGAUGAACCAUGUAGCAUCCUCUUUGAUCCAUAUAGUCGAUGAGCAUUCGUCGAUUGUUUGGCCCGUUGAGGGUGGCUUGGUCUCUCGGAUAUGGAAGCCAAAGUGGGCAUGGGUUCGUACGAUCCUUUUAUUGCCCUUGUUGAGCGUUCUCGCUUCUCUUACACGACCGCCUUUCACGUAUGGUAUGUCCCAGCGUGUUUGGCUACGUCGAAGAGGAAUGUUACCUGGUUGAUCCUGCCAGUAGUCAUAU
rnacentral:misc_RNA from 1 species